AGACUUUCCUCUCUGAAGACAAGUAAACUGCAUAUUAAAGCGGACUGUGACCUCAUAGACUGAUGAAAUUUGAAACACUUAAGCUACAUAUGCUGCUUCUGGGUUAUGUGUUCUGUGUCAUAUCUUAGCUUCCUUUUUCAGACAAUACAUCUUUGAUGAUCGAAAACAACAACAACCUGAUACAGUUCCUUGCAGUUCUAAAAGCCCAAUAGUCCAGAAUACAAAGUCUCUAUUAUGUUCUUCUCUGGAUAAAAGAACUUGUGGACUUUAUAACAUAAUCCAAGAAUGAAGAAAAAAAAAACAACCAAAACCUACCUUUAGGAACAAAGAGGGCACAUAGCAGGAAGCUGAAAUACAGAACGUCUUCUGAGAACACAGAGAACAUUUAGCAAAAAGUGGAAAAUCUGACAACACUGUACAGUCGCAGUCUUCCUCUCCAUAACAAUAAUUUUUUCUCCUCUCACUAAAAUAGAGCAAUUUUUAUUGUCACAAGCCCAUGUGUAUUACUGGCAAUAGGGAUAUAGCUGUAUAGGACACCUCCUUAAACAUCUCCUUUAUUUUAAGAUUCAGUUAGGGGGAAAUGACUAGUUUCCCAGCACUUUCUGGUUACCAUGGAUACCUGUCAUCCACAUCCAGAGCCUGCAGGUUACACUCAGGGACUCUUGCCAGCUCAUGAAUAAUAUCGCUGAAGCCCGCUGCCGCUGCGAUAUGUACACAUGUCUUCCCACUCUCAUCAUCAUAGUUGAUUAUGGACGGCCCCUGGUGAUGGCUCAGAAUGAUGGAGCACAGAAUCCUAUUUCCACUCUGGAAAAGAGAGUCAAAGAAAGCCCAUUAUGUACAAUCCAGUGUUCUUCUCUGUCUAGGCAUGUUAAGAUAAAAAUACAAAGGAAAAAAAGGAAAGAAAGAAAGAAAGAAAAAAGAUGAAAAGAGAAAAGGAAAUGGAAAAAAAAGAAUAAAAAUACACUCUAUCUAAGCUCUCCAACAAGUGUCCACUUGUCUCAAGUCACUGCAGAGAUUUUUGUCUCCCACAGGAGCUAAAUUGUCUUCCAUAACUAGUGAACGAAGGAUGGAUUGAAAUUAAAUACAGGUGCAAUGGACUGACGUCAGAGCUAGAGUGAUCGGUGGGCCACCUAGACAACAACUUGCUCAUUAGGUCUGAUCAUUUGUGUCCCCAUUUGCUGUAGAGGCUGACCACCAAGAAACUGACAGAGUUCAUCUUAAUGUUAAAGAAGUGACUAUGAUGAGUACUGAUUGGUGGCGCAGUGAUGCACUUAAAAAGCUUGUUUCGGGGUAGGGCCAAGGAGCAGGGGGCUGAGAAUUUGUCCCAGGGAGCCUGGGAAGCAGAACUGUCUGAGCAGAGGCUACAGUCUUGUAUCAGACUUCGUUUACAAAAACAAUUAAAAGAUAAAGUGAGAAUUUCCAGAUGGGGACUACAGAACAUUAUGCCUUAAGCACAGGGUCCCAUCUGAGUACCAGACCCUCUGUGGCUGCACUGGUUACAUAUCCAUAAAGCAAUCUCUGGCUACAAACUUUUUCUUUCUCUUCCUAUCAUCUUCCCUUUUGCGUCUUCUUCCUCCAUCCAUCUUUCCUUUGUCUAACAAUGAUUUUAAAUAACUUUGACCCAUUGUUUAUAUUCUAUGGCAUGCCUGUCCUUAGAAGUCAGCUAAAGCUUACUUAGGUGACUUAGAAGUCACCUAAAGUUUAGGUGAGCACACCUAAGCUUUCAUGCCUUUAUCAACUUUUCUAUGUUUGUUUCACUUCAUGCUAGUUAGACAUACAUCGAAGGAGUCUGAAAUACAUUUUAGAUAGUCAAGAGACACUUUUCUUUAAAAGCAGUAGCCAUUCAAUAAGGAAAAUAGAAGCAAAAAGAGUGUCAGCACAACAAUUCUUUUUUGUUUACAAUUUCCUGGAAGAGUAAAGGAAUUCAAGCUGUCAAGGUGGUUCAAAGGCCAAAACACCCUGUUCAUAGUUUCCCCUCUUGGUAGAAGAAGAAGCAUUAAGUGCAGAUGGAGAAAACAAAACCCCACACUCGUACUCUCUUCCUUUCGCCUCCCUCGCCCCUGGGGUGGAGUCAUUCUGGAAGUGGUAAACUGAAAUAGAGGCUGCUGCUUCUGGGAUCCUGCCAGCCAGUCCCAGGCAGCAGGUCUCUUGGUAGCUGGGGUACUGUUGACAGCCUCUCUGGAUAAGUAAAGACAGACUCCAUACCUUUACUCUUUUCCUUUUGUCCUAAAUUCUCCAAACAAUUCCUUUGUCUCUAUACCUGAAUCUCACUUAUAGCACCAUUGUUUGUAUUUUACUUUUCUUUGUAAGAAGAUCCUCCCAGGAAGAAUGGUGACAACUGUAUUUACUGUGUGAUCGUCUGGGCCUGGCACCUUUCUAAGCCAUUUCAUGUACUAACUCAUGAACAACAAUCCCACAAGACUUGUGGACAGUACCUGCAGUACGUGGAUCAUUC
rnacentral:lncRNA from 1 species